rnacentral:rRNA from 1 species
GAAAAAAGCACAAGAGAAGCUUGGAGCAUUGUUGGGGCGAAACCCUGGCUUGUCCAAAGAUUUAACAACUGUGUUGACUUUAGCUUGACGCCAGAGGAAUUUGAGGCAGGGUGGUGUGAGAUGAUGAUGAAGUAUGAGGCUAUGACUGACUCCCACUUCGAGAAUCUAUACAAAUACAGAGAAACAUGGGUACCCUAUUACUUCAAGCACCGAUUCUUCCCUUUCUUGCAGUCAACUAAACGCAGCAAUGGGUUCAACACUGUCCUUAAGCGAUAUGUGAACCCACACAAGUCCAUUUUGAACUUUGUGAAGCAAUAUCAGAAAAUCCAAACACACAUACUAGUCCGAGAGGGUUCAAAAGAUUACAGGACAGGACAUUUGUAG